ensembl:antisense Hoxb5os homeobox B5 and homeobox B6, opposite strand
AUGUCAUAGCGACUUUUGGGGUAGUUUGCUUUCGGCAAAGGGGGACAAAGUCAUGGGGUGAGAGGGAAGGAGGACCCAAAACAGCCUCCAAGACCCUCACCAUCUCUUCACCGGCUCCCCCUCCCCCCCCACAGGUCCUGUAAGAAGUUGGGCCCAGCUGGAAGGGAUUGACCGACGCCUCUUCGCCCUAGGCUGGCCUCUGCGGAGAUUCCAGGCCCCACAGAGACCAGGACUUCCCUCAGCGCCACCGCCCCUCGUGCCAAUGCAGCCGGGAAAUCGCCAUUACCCACACUGGGCAAGAGAAACCGCACGGGGGCAAUCGGAGAGGCCAGGAAAAGGGAGAGAUGGAGGGAGAAGGUUCCAGGUUGGCCGUACUCAGGAGCAGGCCGAACGGCCCAGAGGAAGCCCUGGCGUCCGGUGCUGCCAGGCUCACUGCGGACGCACCCCAGCCCGGUAAACUCACUGUCGCUCGCCGGGACUGGUUUCCCUUCAAUUUAAAAAUUUCAUGUGGAUCGCCCAUGCCAAUUUAGAAUGAAAUAGAUUUAAAUACAUAAAGUAAAAAUAAAUUGAAAUAAAAGCAAGGCAUCUGAUGAAAA